rnacentral:rRNA from 1 species
GAGGAACCUGUCCUGUAAUCGAUACUCCACGAAAAUUUGACCUUAACUGAGUAAAUCAGUUUGUAUAUCGCUGUCGAAAGAUUAUCUCUUGAGAAAUUUUUCUUAAUUAAUUAUUUAUGGAUGACAAGUCAGGGUGCAAUUUAUGUUAAGGGGUGAGAUGGGCUACAAUAGUUGAAGUUAUAUGGAUUUGGUCUUGUAAAUUUUUAUGAAGGUGGAUUUAACUGUAAUAAAGGCUUAAGUUGUCUUUGUGAAAAGUACUAAUAUAUGC